CUACACUCCCAUUUUUUUGCAGGUUCUUAUGACCAAAACACUCUCAGGGGGGCCCCAUGGCAAGUUCAGUCACAAGGCGCUAACACUGACAUAUGUACGGGCAACCAACCUCAACUAGCUAGUAUGGCUAAUCAAGGGCCUUCAUGCAGCACGUGGCAUCAGCCAGCACCCAUGUACCUGCCAUCGACGUCAUACACAGCGUAUUACGCUGGUGGUGACACGGCAAACGUCCCGUGGCAAGCUUCACAAAUUGCAGGUGGAGCACGACAUUUUGGUGUCACAGACCACACAAGAUGGCCAAAUGCAGCACAACAAGGUAAGGAAAAAAAUUGAACCACAAAAAACAUCACUACAUUUGUUGUUUGUAGUUUU